GAGACACGGUCCGGACUCCUACGGGAGGCAGCAGUGGGGAAUAUUGGACAAUGGGCGAAAGCCUGAUCCAGCAAUACCGCGUGUGUGAAGAAGGCCUUCGGGUUGUAAAGCACUUUAAGUUGGGAAGAAAAAACUUCAAUUAAUACUUGAAGUCUUGACGGUACCGACAGAAUAAGCACCGGCUAACUCUGUGCCAGCAGCCGCGGUAAUACAGAGGGUGCUAGCGUUAAUCGGAUUUACUGGGCGUAAAGCGUGCGUAGGUGGUGGUUUAAGUCUGCUGUGAAAGCCCUGGGCUCAACCUGGGAAUUGCAGUGGAUACUGGGUCACUAGAGUGUGGUAGAGGGAUGCGGAAUUUCUGGUGUAGCAGUGAAAUGCGUAGAGAUGUGGAGGAAUACCGAUGGCGAAGGCAGCCAUCUGGCCUAAUACUGACGCUGAGGUACGAAAGCAUGGGGAGCAAACAGGAUUAGAUACCCUGGUAGUCCAUGCCGUAAACGAUGUCUACUAGCCGUUGGGGCCUUUGAGGCUUUAGUGGCGCAGCUAACGCGAUAAGUAGACCGCCUGGGGAGUACGGUCGCAAGACUAAAACUCAAAUGAAUUGACGGGGGCCCGCACAAGCGGUGGAGCAUGUGGUUUAAUUCGAUGCAACGCGAAGAACCUUACCUGGUCUUGACAUGUCAAGAAGUCUGCAGAGAUGCGGAUGUGCCUUCGGGAACUUGAACACAGGUGCUGCAUGGCUGUCGUCAGCUCGUGUCGUGAGAUGUU
rnacentral:rRNA from 1 species